GGUCAGUGCAAGAAAACUCCAUCAGUCCUUCAAAAAGGACAGCCAAAAUCCAUGAUUUCUGUUUUGGUAUUCCCUUUGGUAGUCUUGUUUUCACUGGGGGCAUUGUUGGUUUUAUUUUCUCAAGAAACCCUGCGACUUUAAGUAAUGGUGUUCUUUUUGGAGGUGCUUUACUGGCCUUCAGCACCAUUAGCUUGAGGGUCUGGAGACAAGGAAAAUCUAGCUUGCCAUUCAUACUGGGUCAAGCAGUGCUUGCUGCAGUCCUUCUAUGGAAAAACAUGCAGACUUUCUCUCUGGUA
rnacentral:misc_RNA from 1 species